rnacentral:tRNA from 1 species
GGCCCCAUAGCUCAGUGGAUUAGAGCGUUCGCCUCCGGAGCGAAAGGUCGUGGGUUCGAGCCCCACUGGGGUCACCA